rnacentral:tRNA from 2 species
GGCGUACAUAGUGUAAUUGGAUCGCACAAGGCUUUGUGACAGCCUUAGAACAAGUUCGAACCUUGUUGCACGCC